UAGGGAAUCUUCCGCAAUGGACGAAAGUCUGACGGAGCAACGCCGCGUGAGUGAUGAAGGUUUUCGGAUUGUAAAGCUCUGUUGUUAGGGAAGAACAAGUACCGUUCGAAUAGGGCGGUACCUUGACGGUACCUAACCAGAAAGCCACGGCUAACUACGUGCCAGCAGCCGCGGUAAUACGUAGGUGGCAAGCGUUGUCCGGAAUUAUUGGGCGUAAAGGGCUCGCAGGCGGGUUCUUAAGUCUGAUGUGAAAGCCCCCGGCUCAACCGGGGAGGGUCAUUGGAAACUGGGGAACUGGAGUGCAGAAGAGGAGAGUGGAAUUCCACGUGUAGCGGUUAAAUGCGUAGAGAUGUGGAGGAACACCAGUGGCGAAGGCGACUCUCUGGUCUGUAACUGACGCUGAGGAGCGAAAGCGUUGGGAGCGAACA
rnacentral:rRNA from 1 species